rnacentral:rRNA from 1 species
UACGUAGGGGGCAAGCGUUAUCCGGAUUUACUGGGUGUAAAGGGAGCGUAGACGGUGAUGCAAGUCAGAAGUGAAAGCCCGGGGCCCAACUCCGGGACUGCUUUUGAAACUGUGUGACUCGAGUUCAGACGAGGUAGGCGGAAUAAGUUAAGUAGCGGUGAAAUGCUUAGAUAUAACUUAGAACUCCGAUAGCGAAGGCAGCUUACCAGACUGCGACUGACGCUGAAGCACGAGAGCGUGGGUAGCGAACAGG